AAGCGGUGGAGCAUGUGGUUUAAUUCGACGCAACGCGCAGAACCUUACCUGGUCUUGACAUCUACGGAACCCUCCCGAAAACGGACCGACCCUUCGGGGAGCCUAUACAGGUGUUGCAUGGGCUGUCGUCAGCUCGUGUCGUGAGAUGUUCGGUUAAGUCCGCUAACGAGCGCAACCCUCGUCGUAUGUUAUAUGUGUCAUACGAGACUGCCGGUAAAAAGCCGGAGGAAGGUGAGGAUGAUGUCAAGUCAGCAUGACCUUUAUAUCCAGGGCUACACACACGCUACAAUGGUCUGUACAAUGGGUAGCCAAGCCGCGAGGCGGAGCCAAUCCUGAAAGCAGGCCUCAGUUCAGAUUGCAGUCUGCAACUCGACUGCAUGAAGCCGGAGUUGCUAGUAACCGCAGGUCAGCAAUACUGCGGUGAAUACGUUCCCGGGUCUU
rnacentral:rRNA from 1 species